UGGGGUAUAGCUCAAAAGGUACAGCACUUGCCUAGCGCGCAUCAGGCCCUGGGUUUGAUUCCCAGUUUACCAU
rnacentral:tRNA from 1 species